rnacentral:rRNA from 1 species
UCCUACGGGAGGCAGCAGUAAGGAAUAUUGGUCAAUGGACGGAAGUCUGAACCAGCCAUGCCGCGUGCAGGAAGACGGCCCUAUGGGUUGUAAACUGCUUUUGCAGGGGAAUAAACCUCUCUACGUGUAGAGAGUUGAAUGUACUCUGAGAAUAAGGAUCGGCUAACUCCGUGCCAGCAGCCGCGGUAAUA